UAAUACUUUUCGGGGCACAGCCCCUUCGUCAGAAACGAGAUAAGUUCAAUCCAUGUCUUUAAAUACUUUAGGCUCAAUCUUACCUCAAACUUAUCUCGUUUCUGACGAAGGGGCUGUGCCCCGAAACGUAUUA